GCCUCCGUACCGGAGUUGGCGAAGGCCACCCGCUCCAGCCCGGUGAGGCCGGCGAGGAGUUCCGCCGCCUCGCCGGUCUCGAUGGUGCGGGGGCC
rnacentral:tRNA from 1 species